GAUGAACGCUGGCGGCGUGCCUAAUACAUGCAAGUCGAGCGAACAGACGAGGAGCUUGCUCCUCUGACGUUAGCGGCGGACGGGUGAGUAACACGUGGAUAACCUACCUAUAAGACUGGGAUAACUUCGGGAAACCGGAGCUAAUACCGGAUAAUAUAUUGAACCGCAUGGUUCAAUAGUGAAAGACGGUUUUGCUGUCACUUAUAGAUGGAUCCGCGCCGCAUUAGCUAGUUGGUAAGGUAACGGCCUACCAAGGCAACGAUGCGUAGCCGACCUGAGAGGGUGAUCGGCCACACUGGAACUGAGACACGGUCCAGACUCCUACGGGAGGCAGCAGUAGGGAAUCUUCCGCAAUGGGCGAAAGCCUGACGGAGCAACGCCGCGUGAGUGAUGAAGGUCUUCGGAUCGUAAAACUCUGUUAUUAGGGAAGAACAAAUGUGUAAGUAACUAUGCACGUCUUGACGGUACCUAAUCAGAAAGCAACGGCUAACUACGUG
rnacentral:rRNA from 1 species